CUAAAGGUCCUUUUCAGGACCACCACAUCUUUUACAGAAGAGCUG
rfam:Mus musculus chromosome 13, GRC primary reference assembly.